rnacentral:lncRNA from 1 species
UCGACGAACGGAGUGUAAAUAGUUGUGGGAUUUUAUGGUCGCGUUCGGGUAGUUGUUUGCAGAGUUUCGAAUUUUUACUUGGAGACGUCUCACUGUUAUUUCGAAGACUAUACAUAUGUUUUGAAGGAUGAAGGCUUUGCGAUUUGGACCAGAUAAGGCCGUUUUGACGAGAGUUGUGAAUUUUUAUUUUUAAGCGUGUCCUGAGACUUUUUGCGUAGCGUAAGAAUUCGAAAAAAUGUGUUUUGUAGUAAAAGUUUUAAAAAACUUGAUUACAAUGAUGCAUCUUUAAAAAUGUGGGAGUAUACGAGUAUACUUACCCACUCCCCCUCCCCCCCAUUUUAGAGAGGGGGAU